GUGGGGAAUUUUGGACAAUGGGCGCAAGCCUGAUCCAGCAAUGCCGCGUGCAGGAAGAAGGCCUUCGGGUUGUAAACUGCUUUUGUACGGAACGAAACGGUCCGGGUUAAUACCCUGGGCUAAUGACGGUACCGUAAGAAUAAGCACCGGCUAACUACGUGCCAGCAGCCGCGGUAAUACGUAGGGUGCAAGCGUUAAUCGGAAUUACUGGGCGUAAAGCGUGCGCAGGGGGUUUUGUAAGACAGGCGUGAAAUCCCCGGUCUCAACCUGGGAAUUGCGCUUGUGACUGCAAGGCUGGAGUGCGGCAGAGGGGGAUGGAAUUCCGCGUGUAGCAGUGAAAUGCGUAGAUAUGCGGAGGAACACCGAUGGCGAAGGCAAUCCCCUGGGCCUGCACUGACGCUCAUGCACGAAAGCGUGGGGAGCAAACAGGAUUAGAAACCCGGGUAGUCC
rnacentral:rRNA from 1 species